GGCACGAGGGCAAAGCCUUACAUGGCUGCAAGGGCCUUACCUCUGAUAGCCAAGGAUGACUUGCCUAUGUCUUCUUCCUCCCUCAGAUGCCUAAUUAGCCUUGGAGGUGUGGGGUCUCAUGGGCAGUCACCUUGGCUAGCCUGAGUGGCU
rnacentral:pre_miRNA from 1 species